rnacentral:rRNA from 1 species
UACGUAGGUGGCAAGCGUUGUUCGGAAUUAUUGGGCGUAAAGGGCGCGUAGGCGGCUCGUUAAGUCGGUUGUGAAAGCCCGGGGCUCAACCCCGGAGGGUCGACCGAUACUGGCAAGCUAGAGUACAGAAGAGGUAGCUGGAAUUCCCGGUGUAGCGGUGAAAUGCGCAGAUAUCAGGAGGAACACCGGUGGCGAAGGCGGGUCUCUGGGCCGAAACUGACGCUGAGGAGCGAAAGCGUGGGGAGCAAACAGG